rnacentral:rRNA from 1 species
UACGAAGGGGGCUAGCGUUGUUCGGAAUUACUGGGCGUAAAGCGCACGUAGGCGGAUGUUUAAGUCGGGGGUGAAAUCCCGGGGCUCAACCUCGGAACUGCCUUUGAUACAGCACGUCUUGAGUCCGAUAGAGGUGGGUGGAAUUCCUAGUGUAGAGGUGAAAUUCGUAGAUAUUAGGAAGAACACCGGUGGCGAAGGCGGCCCACUGGAUCGGUACUGACGCUGAGGUGCGAAAGCGUGGGGAGCAAACAGG